AUUUGACCUCAAAUCAGGUAGGAGUACCCGCUGAACUUAAGCAUAUCAAUAAGCGGAGGAAAAGAAAAUAACAAUGAUUCCCCUAGUAACUGCGAGUGAAGAGGGACAAGCUCAAAUUUUAAAUCUGUUAGGUUUACCUAACCGAGUUGUAAUUUGAAGAGGCGUUUUCUGCGCAGCUUGGUCAGCCCAAGUCCUAUUGAAUGAGGCAUCAUGGAGGGUGAUAAUCCCGUCCGGCUGAUCAUUGCGUUUUACGAUACGCUUUCUAAGAGUCAAGUUGUUUGGGAUUGCAGCUUAAAAUGGGAGGUAAAUUUCUCCUAAGGCUAAAUAACGGCGAGAGACCGAUAGCGAACAAGUACCGUGAGGGAAAGAUGAAAAGUACUUUGAAAAGAGAGUUAAAUAGCACGUGAAAUUGUUGAAAGGGAAACGAUUGAAGCCAGUCGUACCUGCGGACAAUCAGCCUUUCGGGUGCGAUUAUGUGGAGCGUGGGGAGCUAAACACCUUCAUGCCUGCGUAUUUGUAUUCUGGGGUGUACUUGGACGUGCGGUAGGUUAACAUCAAUUUCGGACGUCAUAAAAUGGCUGGAGGAAUGUAGCUUCGGUCUCGUACUGAAGUGUUAUAGCCUUCGGCAGAUAUGGUGACCGGGAUUGAGGAUUGCAACGGAUACCUUUUGGGCUACCCGCCUGAUCUCUGAAAGUUGCUCUGGUGCCGAAAGCUUGCUUACGGUUAUCAAAGUUGACGUUCAAAAGGUUAGAACGGGUUAAAUUCGUUAAGGAUGUUGACGUAAUGGCUUUAAACGACCCGUCUUGAAACACGGACCAAGGAGUCUAACAUAUAUGCGAGUGUUU
rnacentral:rRNA from 1 species